GUGCUCACUUCGGCAGCACAUAUGCUAAAAUUGGAAUGAUACAGAGAAGAUUAGUAUGGCCCCUGCGCAAGGAUGACAUACAAAUUCAUGAAGCAUUCCAUAUUUUU
rnacentral:snRNA from 1 species